GCAGUUCCUUCUGGUCGGUGACCAGCUGUUUUGUGCCGUCGUUCCCUUUUUCCCGCUGGCUGCCUGACCGGCCACCCGAAAGAUGUUCCGAAUUGGAUUAAAAUUUCCGUGCAACGGUCUAAAUCGGGUCAAGAAACACGGCUGCUCUAGAUUAUACUUCACGGCCAGGUACUACGAAACGCGGGCGCGCGUGAAACACGAGCCGGAUGGAAGGCUAUGCAAGGAUGUCAGACUUAUAUCCAGGUUUACUGGGUCUAAGUAUUCAACUGCACCGCCAAGAAGUGAAAAAAGUCGAGGAUCAGGAACGUUGAUAACUGUGGGAGCUAUAACGAUAGGUACUGUAGGAAUAUUAGCAUAUGCUAAAAAUGACCCGGAAGUUCGAGCUACUCUUGAAGGAUGGAUUCCUGGCACAGACAAAGCUAUUCGGAUUAUCUUUCAGGAAGAUUCCAAUUAUUUCGACUUCAUACUUACAUUCUUCGAAACAUUGAAGCAAACGAUACUGGGCAUGUUCACAAAAGAGGCGUCAAAACCAGAAUCAGCGCCCAAGUCAGCUUUUAAACCAUUGGUUGAGAAGAAAGAAGCGCCUGUUAACCAGAAUUAUGCUGAAAUUCGUGUUAGUAAAGAGAAGGGCGAAAAAGUAGAUGUUGUAGUUGAAAAGCCAGUGCCACCUUCCAAAGAUAUAUCCAAGGAGUUGACGCCGCAAAACCUCGUCGAGUUAGAAACUUAUUCUGGCGAAACUGCCGCUAAAGCUAUCGCGGCUUACCAUAAGGCGGUGUGCGCGCUUCAAGAGUACAAUAAAGAUGUCGUCAAAGUGAUUGAGGGCGUUGGGGCUACAGCGAAUGGAGUUGUUUGGCAAAGGUUGAAGGAAGCCACGGAAAAAAGGAAAGAGACGGUGCAACAAGCGGAACAGAAUGCAAAAGAUGCAUUAGACUCACUCAAACGCAUGUACAAUUUAAUUGACGAACCUGUGCUUGAGGCACCCGCUCACAUGAAAACUGCCGCGAGACGGAAUGUUAGGAAAAUUUUGGAUGAUGUGGAUAAUGCUAAGAAAAAAUAUACCGACGAGCUGCAGAGCGGCAGCAUCGCCGAGCGCUACUGGAAGCAGGUUAAGACAGCGCGGGAGAAUUUUAACGAAGAAUUGCAAAUUCUGUUUCCCAGCAUAAAUAUUCACGACAAGAAAUUGUCUGUUACUGAAGAUGCCUUCGAUUUAUUCGUACUGCAUAUGUAUCACAAAGUCAACUAUCUGCAGAAAGAGUUGGAGAAAUUAAGGACAGUCAGCGAAGCUAAAGUGAAAACAGCAUUGAGGGCGGCAGGUGAGGACGCAAAUCAAGAAAAGCUGGACGCGCUGAUCUGUCUCGCAAUUGAUCAAGAGAAACUUAUUUUGGAAGAUGAGCACACGAGAAAGCUGCUUACGGAGCAGAAGAAGUUCGACGACGAAAUGCGGCGGCAGCUGAAAUUGCAGUCGGAGAUCCACGCCGAUCAUCUUCGUGAGGCACUUUCGGUCAAAGAGCAGGAAACGCAAAGGACGGUGGAACGCGCGCUCAGCGAGCAAACCGACGCCGACUCCAUAAAGCACAAGACACAGCUCGCUGCGGUGGUGGGAAGGUUACGUGCUCUCACGGCGGCUCUUAAAGCCCGCAUGGAGGAGGAGAAGGGUGCGUCUAAUGCGCAGAUCCUCUGGUCGGCCUGUCAAGCAUUGGCUAGAGCGGUGAAAGUGGCACCACCGGGAGCACCUAAGGAUAAGGCAAUCAGACCGCUGGAGCCUGAGAUCAAGGCCGUUUGCAAGGCAGCACCGAAGGAGGAUCCCCUGGUGCAUGCCGCUAUUCAGGGCAUUCCCGAGGAGGCGGCCAAGAGAGGAGUGUUCCCGGAGGAUGCCCUUCGCGAGAGGUUCCUUAAGGUGGAGAAUGUGGCGAGAAGGUUAGCCAUGGUGCCUGCGGAGGGUGCAGCUCUGCCUAUAUAUCUUCUUAGCUAUCUUCAAAGUUUCUUGAUCAUCAAAACGGCCAAUCCAAUUCCGAAGAGCGAGCUCGAAGAUGAACCAAUCGACAUAGACUCGCUGAAUACGUACGAUAUACUCCAGCGUGCCAGAUAUUGGCUGGAUCGUGGCGACUUUAAGAUGACCCUAAGAUACAUGAAUCUGCUGAAGGGCGCGCCCAGAAGCAUCGCCAGCGACUGGAUGAACGAGACUAGGAUCCUGCUGGAGACGCAGCAGGCGAUCGACGCCCUACUGGCGUACGCAGGUGCGACUGGUCUCGCGUAUCUCGGCGCUGGAGAUCCGCCCAAGUUUACAGAAACGUCGCUGUCCGCUAUUAUGUCGCCUAUAAUUAGUCGUCUGGCGUUCUAAAUGGACCAUUACAUAGUUACGAUGUUUGGUGGAAAUAUCCUCUAAGAGACUCGAAGAUAUAUCCGACGAAACAGUGAUGGACAAGCUUAUUCGCUGCAAUUAUUGGUUUUCGCUGAUUAAUAAUAUAUCGAGCAUUCUACCAGAAAUGGGAGUUAAUUUAUUAAUGAGGAUCAAUUUAUAUGCCAAACUGUAUAUGACUUGUCUAACAAUUGCUCUGAUAUAUUGAGUGAUAACAGUA
rnacentral:misc_RNA from 1 species